GGGCCCGCACAAGCGGUGGAGUAUGUGGUUUAAUUCGAAGCAACGCGCAGAACCUUACCAGCCCUUGACAUGUUAGGUUUGAUUACCAGAGAUGGUUUUCUUCAGUUCGGCUGGCCUAAACACAGGUGCUGCAUGGCUGUCGUCAGCUCGUGUCGUGCAGAUGUUGGUUAAGUCCCGCAACGAGCGCAACCCUCAUCUUCUGUUGCCAGCGGUUCGGCCGGGCACUCUGAAGAAACUGCCUGCGAUGAGACAGGAGGAAGGCGGGGAUGACGUCAAGUCCUCAUGGCCCUUAUGGGCUGGGCUACACACGUACUACAAUGGCAGUGACAAUGGGCAGCGACAGGGCGACCUGUAGCAAA
rnacentral:rRNA from 1 species